rnacentral:rRNA from 1 species
GACGAACGCUGGCGGCGUGCUUAACACAUGCAAGUCGAACGGUAAGGCCCCUUCGGGGGUACACGAGUGGCGAACGGGUGAGUAACACGUGAGCAACCUGCCCUUGACUCUGGGAUAACAGUUGGAAAAAGCUGCUAAUACCGGAUACGACCUUCGAUGACAUCAUCUGGAGGUGGAAAGCGCUUUAGCGGUCAAGGAUGGGCUCGCGGCCUAUCAGCUUGUUGGUGAGGUAACGGCUCACAAAGGCGUCGACGGGUAGCCGGCCUGAGAGGGCGACCGGCCACACUGGGACUGAGAUACGGCCCAGACUCCUACGGGAGGCAGCAGUGGGGAAUAUUGCACAAUGGGCGCAAGCCUGAUGCAGCAACGCCGCGUGCGGGAUGACGGCCUUCGGGUUGUAAACCGCUUUCAGUUCCGACGAGGCGCAAGUGACGGUAGGAACAGAAGAAGGACCGGCCAACUACGUGCCAGCCGCCGCCGUAA